CGGUAUAGUAAGUUCCUGGUAAAAUCGGGUAGCUUAACUAUCCAUAUGCUAGGAAUACUGCUAUACUAGAGGGCGGGAGAAGUCUGAGGUACUACAGGGGUAGGGGUGAAAUCUUAUAAUCCUUGUAGGACCACCGGUGGCGGAAGCGUCAGACUAGAACGCGCCUGACGGUGAGGGACGAAAGCCAGGGGAGCGAACCGGAUUAGAUACCCGGGUAGUCCUGGCCGUAAACGAUGCAUACUAGGUGAUGGCACGGCUAUGAGCCGUGUCAGUGCCGUAGGGAAACCGUUAAGUGUGCCGCCUGGGAA
rnacentral:rRNA from 1 species